CUACGGGGGGCUGCAGUGAGGAAUAUUGCACAAUGGGGGGAACCCUGAUGCAGCAACGCCGCGUGGAGGAUGACGCAUUUCGGUGUGUAAACUCCUUUUAUAUGUCAAGAAAAUGACGGUAGCAUAUGAAUAAGCACCGGCUAGCUCCGUGCCAGCAGCCGCGGUAAUACGGAGGGUGCAAGCGUUACUCGGAAUCACUGGGCGUAAAGGACGCGUAGGCGGGUUGAAAAGUCAGGUGUGAAAGCCUACAGCUUAACUGUAGAACUGCACUUGAAACUCUCAACCUAGAGUAUGGGAGGGGCAGAUGGAAUUAGUGGUGUAGGGGUAAAAUCCGUAGAUAUCACUAGGAAUACCUAAAGCGAAGGCGAUCUGCUGGAACAUUACUGACGCUAAGGCGUGAAAGCGUGGGGAGCAAACAGGAUUAGAUACCCGCGUAGUC
rnacentral:rRNA from 1 species